rnacentral:ncRNA from 1 species
GCUGGUCCUCGGUGGUGGGUUCCUGCCGCAGCGCUAGAGGCGCUCAUGCGACAGUGGUCUUCUACUGACGAUCAGC